rnacentral:rRNA from 1 species
GAUGAACGCUGGCGGCGUGCCUAAUACAUGCAAGUCGAGCGAACAGACGAGGAGCUUGCUCCUCUGACGUUAGCGGCGGACGGGUGAGUAACACGUGGAUAACCUACCUAUAAGACUGGGAUAACUUCGGGAAACCGGAGCUAAUACCGGAUAAUAUAUUGAACCGCAUGGUUCAAUAGUGAAAGACGGUUUUGCUGUCACUUAUAGAUGGAUCCGCGCCGCAUUAGCUAGUUGGUAAGGUAACGGCUUACCAAGGCGACGAUGCGUAGCCGACCUGAGAGGGUGAUCGGGCACAAUGGAACUGAGACACGGUCCAGACUCCUACGGGAGGCAGCAGUAGGGAAUCUUCCGCAAUGGGCGAAAGCCUGACGGAGCAACGCCGCGUGAGUGAUGAAGGUCUUCGGAUCGUAAAACUCUGUUAUUAGGGAAGAACAAAUGUGUAAGUAACUAUGCACGUCUUGACGGUACCUAAUCAGAAAGCCACGGCUAACUACGUG